CAACUCGAUAGUCUAAAUGAUUGUGUAGGAUGUGAGUUUUGGGGACUUGAGGUCUUUGGUUGAAGUCGGUUGA
rnacentral:tRNA from 1 species